rnacentral:lncRNA from 1 species
CAUCCAUUCACCAAUUCCAACGGUAGAGACAUAAAGAGUGGGAGUCCAGACCUGGUCCUGCUCUCCCGGGGCAGAUGGGUCAGUGACAUCUAUUCCCAAAGAGGAAGGAGUCUCAACUCAGCUGAAGCAUUUACAGCUCAGUAGCCGUGUCUGCCGCUAUUUCAAGUGUAAGGCAAAUGUGGAGUACCUAAGAAUAAAGGAGCUCUUCCAAGGAGCAAGCAGAGGGACAGACAGACAUGGCUGCCGUGCAGCCUGUGCUAGCAAGGCUGGGAUGGAGAGGAAGAGUACAGAACGGAAGUGUGAGGACCAGGAGACGAGAGUGGAAGACUCGAAGGGACAUGGACUCCAGGGCAGAGGGAAGGAAGGAAGGCUCCUUCCCUUGGGUCUCAU